rnacentral:tRNA from 1 species
UGUAGUAUAAUGUUUAUGCAUAUGGGUUUUUGAUUCUCAUUGAAAAGCUUAAUUGUUUUUAUUACAG